AGAGUUUGAUCCUGGCUCAGAGCGAACGCUGGCGGCAGGCUUAACACAUGCAAGUCGAGCGGGCCCUUCGGGGUCAGCGGCAGACGGGUGAGUAACGCGUGGGAACGUGCCCUUCGGUUCGGAAUAACUCAGGGAAACUUGAGCUAAUACCGGAUACGCCCUUUUGGGGAAAGGUUUACUGCCGAAGGAUCGGCCCGCGUCUGAUUAGCUGGUUGGUGAGGUUAUGGCUCACCAAGGCGACGAUCAGUAGCUGGUCUGAGAGGAUGAUCAGCCACACUGGGACUGAGACACGGCCCAGACUCCUACGGGAGGCAGCAGUGGGGAAUAUUGGACAAUGGGGGCAACCCUGAUCCAGCCAUGCCGCGUGAGUGAUGACGGCCUUAGGGUUGUAAAGCUCUUUUCUCCGGGACGAUAAUGACGGUACCGGAGGAAUAAGCCCCGGCUAACUUCGUGCCAGCAGCCGCGGUAAUACGAAGGGGGCUAGCGUUGCUCGGAAUCACUGGGCGUAAAGUGCGCGUAGGCGGCUGAUUUAGUCGAGGGUGAAAGCCCGUGGCUCAACCACGGAAUGGCCUUCGAUACUGGUUGGCUUGAGACCGGAAGAGGACAGCGGAACUGCGAGUGUAGAGGUGAAAUUCGUAGAUAUUCGCAAGAACA
rnacentral:rRNA from 1 species